UUUUUCUUGCCCUUAAGAAAAAAAUAAAUAGCUGUUAGUUAGUUGCCCCUCUGCUGUAGAAGCAGCAAUCCAUUGACUGCUGCAGCAUUUUAGAACAGAAUAACUGACUGGAAAGCUGAUAAACUUCCUAUGGUAUUUUACAUACACCAGGUGCCUUCAACUGGCCAGGGGUACCGGCCUGCACCACGGUCCUUCAGAAGGGGGAUGCAGGUACAGCGGUGCUUUCAGUGAUGGAGCACAAGAGAAAAGCAGAUCCUGCACGCUUUAAUGAUCAAUAACUUUUGUCUCUGGUGUUCGAGAGCCUCACAGACUGUGUGGGUGUCUGUCCCCAAUAGGUGCUAUUUCUCUGUGCUCACACGGAAGUUCUGGGAAUUUGGUAUCCCUGCUUUUAGGUUUUACAAAUACCUGGAACACCUUCGAACAGCUCAGAGGCUGGAGGCUGAAACAGCGGUUUUCUUAAUGUGCUUUCUUAAUGUACCAAAAAUGAGGCAAUUUUUUCCCAAGUUGUGUGUGUGUCUCUCACACCCUCUCCAGGGGCAUGCUCACGACACCCACUGAGGCUGUAAUGCUCUGCAGGCCUCUAACACAGGAACACUGGUUUUACUCAAGUGUACUUUUAACCACAUAUACAAAAGUAGCACCCACUUUGACUUUUUAUACUCACCCCAAGAUUUGUCCACAAACUGAACUGCAGCUUUUUUAACUGGGUCUUUCUUGUUUGCAAGUGAAAAAAAUUCAUUUGCUGAAAUGGAAAUGAGUGUUAAUUACCAAGUUUAAGCCAGACAAGACUAGAUGCAGACCUGCCUAACCAAAACUGCUUACCCUGUACCCGGUUGGUGUGUGGCCCAUAGAGCUGAGCAUUUAGAAAGUCUUUGGCGAGCUGUUGGUGGAGGCCUGUUAAACUCUGAUCUUUUAAGCAGACAGCUGCGUAGUUUCCUUUUGACCUAGUUAAAAAGACAGAUGUAAAUCCCUUUACCAUGGUUACAGAACCCAGAACAACACACACACUGGUGUCAAGCUUUGCUACUUGAGCACAACUGCAGCAGUUGCUGGUUUCUGAUGCUCAGAUGAGCUUGGUGGCAGUAUUAAAAAAAAUUAAAAAUAGAACCAAAACUCUGAA